rnacentral:rRNA from 1 species
UACGGGGGGGGCAAGCGUUGUUCGGAAUUACUGGGCGUAAAGGGCUCGUAGGCGGCCCACUAAGUCCGACGUGAAAUCCCCAGGCUUAACUUGGGAACUGCGUCGGAUACUGGUGGGCUUGAAUCCGGGAGAGGGAUGCGGAAUUCCAGGUGUAGCGGUGAAAUGCGUAGAUAUCUGGAGGAACACCGGUGGCGAAGGCGACUUACUGGACUGUAACUGACGCUGAGGCAUGAAAGCGUGGGGAGCAAACAGG